rnacentral:rRNA from 1 species
GACGAACGCUGGCGGCGUGGAUUAGGCAUGCAAGUCGAACGGUAUCAUCCUUUCGGGGGUGAGAGAGUGGCGAACUGGUGAGUAACACGUAGGUUAUCUACCCUCAAGACGGGGACAACCCAGGGAAACUUGGGCUAAUACCGGAUGUGAGCAACUUUUAGUUGUUUGAAAGGUGGCGUAAGCUGUCGCUUGGGGAUGAGCCUGCGUCCUAUUAGUUAGUUGGUGAGGUAACGGCUCACCUAGGCAAUGAUAGGUAGGCGGCCUUAACGGGUGGUCGCCCACACUGGGAUUGAGAUACGGCCCAGACUCCUACGGGAGGCAGCAGUCGAGAAUAGUCUACAAUGGUCGGAAGACUGAUAGUGCGACGCCGCGUGAACGAUGAAUCCCUUCGGGGUGUAAAGUUCUUUUAUAUGUGAGCAGUGCUUCUUAUAUUAACAGUAUGGGGAGAGAGAUAUUAGCAUAUGAAUAAGCAAACGGCUAAACUCCGUGCCCAGCAAGCCGCGGUAAAUCUUCG